rnacentral:rRNA from 1 species
GCCAGACUCCUACGGGAGGCAGCAGUGGGGGAUAUUGCACAAUGGGGGGAACCCUGAUGCAGCGACGCCGCGUGGGUGAAGAAGUAUUUCGGUAUGUAAAGCCCUAUCGGCAGGGAAGAAAUUGGACGGUACCUGACUAAGAAGCCCUGGGUAACUACGUGCCAGCAGCCGCGGUAAUACGUAGGGGGCAAGCGUUAUCCGGAUUCACUGGGUGUAAAGGGAGCGUAGACGGCCAUGCAAGCCUGGAGUGAAAGCCCGGGGCCCAACCCCGGGACUGCUCUGGGAACUGUGCGGCUGGAGUGCGGGAGGGGCAGGCGGAAUUCCUGGUGUAGCGGUGAAAUGCGUAGAUAUCAGGAGGAACACCGGCGGCGAAGGCGGCCUGCUGGACCGCGACUGACGUUGAGGCUCGAAAGCGUGGGGAGCAAACAGGAUUAGAUACCCGAGUA